UCACUCCCCUCUGUUUCUCCCUAGGGUGAGAAAGGUCCCAUAGGCCCCGCUGGCCGCGACGGAGUCCAGGGUCCCGUUGGGCUGCCCGGCCCAGCGGGGCCCCCAGGGGGUGCUGGUGAGGACGGCGACAAGGGCGAGGUGGGCGAGCCGGGCCAGAAGGGUGGCAAAGGCAACAAGGGAGAGCACGGUCCCCCAGGACCCCCAGGUCCCAUGGGCUCAGUCGGGCAGCCUGGAGCAGCCGGGGCUGAUGGGGAGCCGGGCGCUCGGGGCCCCCAGGGCCACUUUGGGGCGAAGGGCGAUGAAGGAACCCGCGGAUU